UUGAGCCGUAUGCGCUGAAAGGCGCACGUACGGUUUUUAGGGGGGGACAGGCCAGAAAUGGUCUGUUCCUACCCAAC
rfam:Pseudomonas fuscovaginae strain IRRI 6609 Pf_IRRI_6609_contig_30.30, whole genome shotgun sequence.